UCGUGAUCCACCCUCCUUGGCCUCCCAAAGUGCUGGGAUUACAGGUGUUAGCCGCUGCGCCCGGCCCUAACAAUAUUAUUAUAUAACAAGAUUACUUUCCAAAAAUUUAACAAAUCAUUUUGUAUAUUGAGAUUUUUUGCUUUCAGAGAGUAGACAAAAUGGCUAUGAGGCAGUGUACAAGUUUGUAUGAUCAAAAAGAGCAAAAUUACCUCUGUUCUCUCAUUUUGCAGGAGCAGUAGAGAACUGUGGACUAUUCUGCUUGGAAGGUCAGCUCUGAGAGAGCUGAGUCAGAUUGAGGCAGAACUGAAUAAACAUUGGCGGCGAUUGUUAGAGGGACUUUCUUACUACAAACCUCCCAGGUAUGGCAAUUCCAGGUGUCUGGUUAAAGUAAUUCCCCUAAGGAAGCUG
rnacentral:sRNA from 1 species